rnacentral:misc_RNA from 1 species
GCACAGAAUGAGGAAUGGAGUCUGCUAUGCAAUUCACUUGCAGCUAAGCUGAUGGCUGCUGGCAAUACUUUGGCAGCAACUCUUUGUUUUAUUUGUGCGGGAAAUAUAGACAAAACUGUUGAAAUUUGGUCAAGGAACCUGACAACUGAACGCGAAGGCAAAUCAUAUGUUGAACUCCUUCAGGAUUUGAUGGAGAAGACUAUUGUCCUUGCUCUGGCAAGUGGUCAGAAGCAAUUUAGUGCAUCUUUGUGCAAGCUUGUUGAGAAAUAUGCUGAAAUUUUAGCCAGUCAGGGGCUUUUAUCAACAGCAAUGGAGUACCUCAAACUUUUGGGGUCUGACGAAUUGUCUCCUGAACUUAUAAUCCUACGGGAUUGUAUUUCCCUCUCCACAGAACCUGAUAAAGAUGCCAAGAGCUCGGCUUUUGAAAACUCCCAACAGCAAGGUGGGUUAAUGUAUGCUGAACAACAUAGUUUUGGUAUGACUGAUGCAUCUCAGCACUAUUAUCCGGAAAAUGCACCAUCACAAGUGCAUCAAAAUGUUCCUGGCAGUCCAUACAGUGAAAAUUAUCAACAAACUCUUGGUCCUUCGUAUGGAAGAGGAUAUGGUGCUCCUACUCCAUAUCAGCCUGCACCACAGUCUGCAACUUACCCGCC